GAUGAACGCUGGCGGCGUGCCUAAUACAUGCAAGUCGAACGCUGGAGAUCUAGCUUCCUAGCUCGAAGGAGUGGCGAACGGGUGAGUAAUACAUAAGCAACCUACCCACGAAGACUGGGAUAAUCUCUGGAAACGGGGACUAAUACCGGAUAGGUAAUCGGAAGGCAUCUUCUGGUUAUUAAAGGUUAAAAACACUGGUGGAUGGGCUUAUGGCGCAUUAGUUAGUUGGUGAGGUAACGGCCCACCAAGACGAUGAUGCGUAGCCGGCCUGAGAGGGUGAACGGCCACAUUGGGACUGAGACACGGCCCAGACUCCUACGGGAGGCAGCAGUAGGGAAUUUUCGGCAAUGGGGGCAACCCUGACCGAGCAACGCCGCGUGAGUGAAGACGGCCUUCGGGUUGUAAAGCUCUGUUGUAAGGGAAGAACGGUAGAUAGAGAAUAUCUAAGUGACGGUACCUUACCAGAAAGCCACGGCUAACUACGUG
rnacentral:rRNA from 1 species